GAUGAACGCUGGCGGCGUGCCUAAUACAUGCAAGUCGAGCGAACGGACGAGAAGCUUGCUUCUCUGAUGUUAGCGGCGGACGGGUGAGUAACACGUGGAUAACCUACCUAUAAGACUGGGAUAACUUCGGGAAACCGGAGCUAAUACCGGAUGAUAUUUUGAACCGCAUGGUUCAAAAGUGAAAGACGGUCUUGCUGUCACUUAUAGAUGGAUCCGCGCUGCAUUAGCUAGUUGGUAAGGUAACGGCUUACCAAGGCAACGAUGCAUAGCCGACCUGAGAGGGUGAGCGGCCACCCUGGAACUGAGACACGGUCCAGACUCCUACGGGAGGCAGCAGUAGGGAAUCUUCCGCAAUGGGCGAAAGCCUGACGGAGCAACGCCGCGUGAGUGAUGAAGGUCUUCGGAUCGUAAAACUCUGUUAUUAGGGAAGAACAUAUGUGUAAGUAACUGUGCACAUCUUGACGGUACCUAAUCAGAAAGCCACGGCUAACUACGUG
rnacentral:rRNA from 1 species